AGCAAUCCUGGUGGCGAGUGGCGAACGGGUGAGUAAUAUAUCGGAACGUGCCCAGUCGUGGGGGAUAACGCAGCGAAAGCUGUGCUAAUACCGCAUACGAUCUCUGGAUGAAAGCGGGGGACUCGCAAGGGCCUCGCGCGAUUGGAGCGGCCGAUAUCAGAUUAGCUAGUUGGUGGGGUAAAAGCCCACCAAGGCGACGAUCUGUAGCUGGUCUGAGAGGACGACCAGCCACACUGGAACUGAGACACGGUCCAGACUCCUACGGGAGGCAGCAGUGGGGAAUUUUGGACAAUGGGCGCAAGCCUGAUCCAGCAAUGCCGCGUGCAGGAUGAAGGCCUUCGGGUUGUAAACUGCUUUUGUACGGAACGAAAAGGUCUGCCUUAAUACGGUGGGCUCAUGACGGUACCGUAAGAAUAAGCACCGGCUAACUACGUGCCAGCAGCCGCGGUAAUACGUAGGGUGCGAGCGUUAAUCGGAAUUACUGGGCGUAAAGCGUGCGCAGGCGGUUAUAUAAGACAGAUGUGAAAUCCCCGGGCUCAACCUGGGACCUGCAUUUGUGACUGUAUAGCUAGAGUACGGUAGAGGGGG
rnacentral:rRNA from 1 species